rnacentral:misc_RNA from 1 species
GAUGAAGAACGUAGCGAAAUGCGAUAAGUAAUGUGAAUUGCAGAAUUCAGUGAAUCAUCGAAUCUUUGAACGCACAUUGCGCCCGCCAGUAUUCUGGCGGGCAUGCCUGUUCGAGCGUCAUUUCAACCAUCAAGCCCCGGGCUUGUGUUGGGGACCUGCGGCUGCCGCAGGCCCUGAAAUGCAGUGGCGGGCUCGCUGUCACUCCGAGCGUAGUAAUACAUCUCGCUCAGGGCGUGCUGCGGGUUCCGGCCGUUAAAAAGCCUUAUUUACCCAAGGUUGACCUCGGAUCAGGUAGGAAGACCCGCUGAACUUAAGCAUAUCAAUAAGCGGAGGA